GGUUUCCCUUUACGAAUUGUAGUUUAAAGAAGUGUUUUCUGUUGAGGUUUUGGUAAAAGUUCUUUGGAAUAGGACAUCAUAGAGGGUGAGAAUCCCGUAUUUGACCUUUACUUUCAACUUUGUGAUACACUUUCAAAGAGUCGGAUUGUUUGGGAAUGCAGUCCAAAAUGGGUGGUAAAUUUCAUCUAAAGCUAAAUAUUGGCGAGAGACCGAUAGCGAACAAGUACCGUGAGGGAAAGAUGAAAAGAACCUUGAAAAGAGAGUUAAACAGUACGUGAAAUUGUCAAAAGGGAAGCGUUUGACACCAGUGUUGUUUUUCUGAAAAUCAAUUAAAGAACUGUUUAUGCUAAGCUGUUUAGACUUUAUCAGCUAACUGUUUAGUUUUGAGCUUUUCUUU
rnacentral:rRNA from 1 species